rnacentral:rRNA from 1 species
AUGCAACUCUAUAGAUAUCUGAUGAGCCGACAAGGACAGAAACAAUGCAGACAAGAACAGCUAUAUAAAACCUCAAAGAGCAAAGGCUACAUUUCAGGAAAAUCCUUCAUGGAACAAGCAGGGAAAGGAAACGCACAAAUGGAGGGCUCCAUGCUAAACGCGUUACUGGACGAAUGGACAGAACAGAAACAGUUCAACCCAGACAUCACAACUGUACUCCCUGCAGAAUUCACAAAUAUGGUGCUAGGUCUCAAUUAUAAAAGAGGGGAGCUAUCAGAAUUCAACGAAGACGAUGCACUACAAGCAUUUGAACAACUCGUGCGAAGUAAAACCAUCCUGCACUCAAAGAUGAUCAUGAUACCUCAUCACACGGACAAGCACUACACGCUAUAUGUAAUGAACAAGUACAGAGAUAGCAUCGACAUCCUUGACUCACUGACCUAUCUAAACUACGCCGAUUUGUCUUGGAGUAAACACCAUGUGCAUCGAGCAGAACUGAUGAGAAGGAUGUCAGUGUUGAUGAACAAGUACCACCAACUAAAAGACAAGAACGAACCAGACUGGGCAAGGAUAGAAGAAAGGCCUCACAGGAUCUGCACACCAAAGCAAGAAGGAACACAAUGCGGACACUUCACGGCCCAAUUUGCGAAACACUGGAAUUGGAAAGAACUGGUCAAGGACAGAGAGGAUUUUCAUCACAGCAAGGUGGAUGCCAAAUGGAAACCAGAGUACGUAUACACACUCAUAUUCGGUAAAACCAACCAAAUAAAGCACCAUCAACUUCCUGAAAAAAUCAAAGUUUUCAAACCAGAGACUACAAACCUUUUUCGCCCAUGA